CAUGUUGAAAACGUCUGUGUGCUCACACUGAGUAACGUAUCUGUUCAGAGAAUUUCAAAAGACAGGAGUGAAAAUGCGUUGCAUGAUAAAAACCUGUUCUACCUUUCAUAGCAUCCUUGACAUUCAAGACCUGCAGAAUACACUUGGAGGAACCAUCCAGAAAUUCUCAUUUUAAGAUAUAAAAGUCCUCCGAACACACUAACCUUCAGUUUGGCUACAACGAAGCAGCUACAGCCACUGUGGAGCUAAGCUGAAAGCUGCCUUAAAACGAAGCGAAAACUUCCAGUCAAAUCAUUCACACAUCACAGAAGCUUCUAGGAACUCCCUCACAAUUGAAAGAGAGAAAGAAAGGGAGAACGGGAGAAAGAGAGUUCCUAGAGGGAUCGCUGUAACUGUCAGAAGUUCACAGGAAGAUAAAGGAAUUCACGUGGCUUAUGAGGAAUGGAGACCGAAUCUGAUUUCACGUUGUUUAGAAAGAAACGGAUGAGCACCGAAACCACGUAUUUGAAUUUUAAGGAGUCCAGCCGACAGAUGUUGUCUCGGCUUAUCCCGCUGCUGUGGAAUUCUGCCCCAAGAUGGAUGGACACGGAAAAGACAACUAAUACCCUGAAACUGCUUAUCCUGACCAUUCAAAUAUUUUGAAACAUCUGUGUCAGAAAAACAAGAAGAGCAUGUGAGACUCCCCGUGCGCACGCGGUGGGCCCCUCUGUGAACUGUGCCAAACAAAUUCCAAAUGAAGUGAUGGAGGAUAUCCCAGAAGAAAAUUAGCACAGUCUUUUUUAUUCAAACCCAGUUGGCUCUAUGUAGAUGGACUCUUAUUCUAAACUUUUCUGUUUUUUAAAAAAAAAUUCAGAGUAAAUACAUACAGUGUUAGCAGCUUUCUAGAGACCACCGUGCGCCCCUCCCGUUUCACAGCCACCCCACUGUAACUGUUAAAGAUGUCUGUAGGCUGGGUGCAGUGGCUCAUGCCUGUAAUCCCAGCACUUUGGGAGGCUGAGGUGGGUGGAUCACCUGAGGUCAGGAGUUUGAGACCAGCCUGGCCAACAUGGUGAAACCCUGUCUCUACUAAAAAUACAAUAAUUAGCUGGAUGUGGCAGGCGCCUGUAGUCCCAGCUACUCGGGAAACUGAGGCAGGAGAUUCUCUUGCACCUGGGAGACAGAGGUUAUAGUGAGCCGAGAUCAUGCCAUUGCACUCUGGCCUGGGACACAAGAGUGAAACUCGGUCUCAAAAAAAAAAAGACGUUUUGUGUUUCCCUCCUCUUUCUGUAGAAGCGCUCAUCAGCCUCCUUUUCGGAUCCAUUUCUUUCUAAUUCCUCACUUUCCUCACUUACACAGAAUUGUGGCUCCAUAAAAAACAACACAUUUUCUGAGUGAAUAAUCACUAUCAACCCAGCAUUAAAGUUUUCCUUUUAAAGUUUUUCCUUCCAGUUUUUAAUUUGUAUCUUCACACAGUUGCAGCAAUUGCUCAUGUUGACGAGUAAUUACUGUGAGACAGGCUCUGUGCUGACUGUUAAUACAGACUCUUCUAUUUAUUCCUCCCAAGAAAACACAGGAGGUGGGUUUUACAGACCUACCCAGUCACAGAACUAAGUAUGCUACAGUUAAGGUUCAAACUCUGGUUUGCAUUAGGCCAACAUAAAAUAAGACAUUUUGCCUGACUGUUUCAGUUCAUUUUUUG